rnacentral:rRNA from 1 species
AUUGAGGACUGGGUGGCCAAGCGAAAGUGAUAAGUAACCCACCUGGGGAGUACGUUCGCAAGAAUGAAACUCAAAGGAAUUGACGGGGGCCCGCACAAGCGGUGGAGCAUGUGGUUUAAUUCGAUGAUACGCGAGGAACCUUACCAGGGCUUAAAUGUAGUCUGACAGAUUUGGAAACAGAUUUUUCUUCGGACAGAUUACAAGGUGCUGCAUGGUUGUCGUCAGCUCGUGCCGUGAGGUGUCAGGUUAAGUCCUAUAACGAGCGCAACCCCUGUGGUUAGUUGCCAGCGAGUCAAGUCGGGAACUCUAGCCAGACUGCCGGUGCAAACCGUGAGGAAGGUGGGGAUGACGUCAAAUCAUCACGGCCCUUACGUCCUGGGCCACACACGUGCUACAAUGGUAGGUACAGAGAGCAGCCACGUCGCAAGGCGGAGCGAAUCUAUAAAACCUAUCACAGUUCGGAUCGGGGUCUGCAACUCGACCCCGUGAAGCUGGAAUCGCUAGUAAUCGCAUAUCAGCCAUGAUGCGGUGAAUACGUUCCCGGGCCUUGUACACACCGCCCGUCAAGCCAUGGAAGCUGGGGGUACCUGAAGUCCGUCACCGCAAGGAGCGGCCUAGGGUAAGACCGGUAACUGGGGCUAAGUCGUAACAAGGUAGCCGUACCGGAAGGUGCGGCUGGAACACCUCCUUUCU